GGCCAAAUGUGAUGGCUCACCUCUGUAAUCCCAACACUUUGGGAGGCCAAGGUUUGCAGAUCACCUAAUGUCAGGAGUUCCGGACCAGCCUGGUCAACAUGGCAAAACACUGUUUCUACUAAAAAUACAAAAA